AACCAUUUCACUCUAAGAACUGGCAAUAUAAUGAGAUGAUGCACCUGUCAGCACCUACAACAGCAUGACAGGAGUUGGUGGCAAAAGUCUAAACAACAUUCGUUAUAAGGAGUAGCAGUAGACUUGAAUUCCCGUAUUGAUCAGAAUCGAGACUCGAUUCUUGAUUGAAGUGUAGUGAGUGUAGUGUUUUCUGGGACUUCGCUGUCAGCAUUUAUGGAAUGACGGAAAGGUCUUAGAGCACAGUCUUGUCCUUUGUGGACAGGGCUGCUAAGGGAUCUCCUGGAAGUCAUUCCCAUCUUUAGCCAUCGAUGGACCAGGAGCGUAAAAGCAAAAUGUAAAGGUCAAAGUGAGUCGUUUCGAUUUAUCAGCUGGCACUGAUGAUAAUCGUGAUGAAUACCGUGGGAAAUGCAAAAAUUUGUGAAGUAACUUAUGUCGAUAGAAUUUUGGAGGGUUAGUUUGCGACGUGGGUCAUUAUUUUCGGGGUGAUUCCUGGGGAAAUUUUUUCGAAAUUCCUUCAAGUACAAAUUUUCUUCAUUCACGACACUAGGUAGCUUCUCAUCUUUUCGAUAUACUUCUGAUAGUCCUUCAGUAGCGGUCCAAUUAUUUAAAUCGAAGUACAAUAUUUUGUGGAGUAACUUUAUGUCGAUAGAAUUCUGGAGGAUUUGUUUGCGAAGUGGUUCAUUAUUUUCGGGAAAAUUCCUGGGGAAAUUCCUUCGAAAUGACCAUGUCAUCUUUGAAGAAUUUUCUUGUAGUGCUUUCCUCAGAAUGAAUGAACCUUCAAGAACACAUUUUCUAUAUUCACGACACUAAGUAUCUUCUCAUCUUAUCGAUAUACAUACUUCUGAUAGUCCUUUAGUAGCGGUAUAAUUAUUUCAAUGGAAAUGCAAUAUUUUGUGGAACAACUUUAUGUCGAUAGAAUUCUGGAGGGUUUGAUUGCGAAGUGGGUCAUUAUUUUUGGGAUGAUUCCUGGGAAAAUUCCUACGAAAUGAUCAACUCAUCUUCGAGGAAUUUUCUUUUGAUGCUCUCCUUAGAAUCAAUGACUCUUCAAGAUCAGAUUCAACAAAUUUGCGACUAAAGUUUUUUCUCAUCUUAUUGAUUCAUUUCUUAGCGUAAUUCCGUUUCGACUAAAUUAUUAUUUCGUCGCGAUAUAAGUGUUGAGUGUACAAAAAAGGUAAAGAAAGUAGGUACAAGACAAGAUAAUAAGUAUAUUCGAUAAUGUCAUAUAUUUUAUAUCAUUCGAAAUUGAAUUUUGAUAUACGUUACUGACAAAAUGGGUAGUAUUGAAGAUUCAAUACGUAAAUAUUUAACGCAGUAACGUAUUAUCUGAAGAACAGAAGAUAAUCAUUUAUUUUUCAGUAGAAAGUUAAUGGAUCAGAUAGUUUGUCUCGAAAGAUUUUGUCCUCAGAACUGAAUAUAUAAUUAGAUACUGCACCUGUCAGCACCUACGUCAGCAUGACAGGAGUUGGUGGCAAAAGUCUAAACAACAUUCGUUAUAAGGAGUAGCAGUAGACUUGAAUUCCCGUAUUGAUCAGAAUCGAGACUCGAUUCUUGAUUGAAGUGUAGUGAGUGUAGUGUUUUCUGGGACUUCGCUGUCAGCAUUUAUGGAAUGACGGAAAGGUCUUAGAGCACAGUCUUGUCCUUUGUGGACAGGGCUGCUAAGGGAUCUCCUGGAAGUCAUUCCCAACUUUAGCCAUCGAUGGACCAGGAGCGUAAAAGCAAAAUGUAAAGGUCAAAGUGAGUCGUUUCGAUUUAUCAGCUGGCACUGAUGAUAAUCGUGAUGAAUACCGUGGGAAAUGCAAAAAUUUGUGAAGUAACUUAUGUCGAUAGAAUUUUAGAGGGUUAGUUUGCGACGUGGGUCAUUAUUUUCGGGGUGAUUCCUGGGGAAAUUUUUUCGAAAUUCCUUCAAGUACAAAUUUUCUUCAUUCACGACACUAGGUAGCUUCUCAUCUUUUCGAUAUACUUCUGAUAGUCCUUCAGUAGCGGUCCAAUUAUUUAAAUCGAAGUACAAUAUUUUGUGGAGUAACUUUAUGUCGAUAGAAUUCUGGAGGAUUUGUUUGCGAAGUGGUUCAUUAUUUUCGGGAAAAUUCCUGGGGAAAUUCCUUCGAAAUGACCAUGUCAUCUUUGAAGAAUUUUCUUGUAGUGCUUUCCUCAGAAUGAAUGAACCUUCAAGAACACAUUUUCUAU